rnacentral:miRNA from 1 species
GCGGGCAGCGGGGUGUGUGUGUGUGUGUGUGUGUGUGUGUGCGCUCGUGUGCGCGCCUCCCGGGCCUCCCAGCCGGCCUGAGUC